rnacentral:lncRNA from 1 species
AAAUUUUCAUCCUAUAAAAGUGAACAUUUCUACUUUAUUAUAGUAAAUUUUUAUUUUUAUUUUGUUGCAUCAAUAAACUUACUGGUCACAAUUUCAAUUAUAAUUAAAUCAUGCAGAAAAUAGGUUAUAUUUAUAUUUUGGACUUUGGGCUAUUAAAGUUUUAUUUUAUUAUUGGCAAAUAUAUUAAUCUCAUCUUGGAAAAG